rnacentral:rRNA from 1 species
GCACAAGCGGUGGAGCAUGUGGUUUAAUUCGAAGCAACGCGAAGAACCUUACCAAAUCUUGACAUCCUCUGACCCCUCUAGAGAUAGAGUUUUCCCCUUCGGGGGACAGAGUGACAGGUGGUGCAUGGUUGUCGUCAGCUCGUGUCGUGAGAUGUUGGGUUAAGUCCCGCAACGAGCGCAACCCUUAAGCUUAGUUGCCAUCAUUAAGUUGGGCACUCUAAGUUGACUGCCGGUGACAAACUGGAGGAAGGUGGGGAUGACGUCAAAUCAUCAUGCCCCUUAUGAUCUGGGCUACACACGUGCUACAAUGGACAAUACAAAGGGUAGCGAAACCGCGAGGUCAAGCAAAUCCCAUAAAGUUGUUCUCAGUUCGGAUUGUAGUCUGCAACUCGACUACAUGAAGCUGGAAUCGCUAGUAAUCGUAGAUCAGCAUGCUACGGUGAAUACGUUCCCGGGC